GACGAGCGCUGGCGGCGUGCUUAACACAUGCAAGUCGAACGGUAAGGCUCCAGCUUGCUGGGGUACACGAGUGGCGAACGGGUGAGUAACACGUGGGUGACCUGCCCUGCACUUCGGGAUAAGCCUGGGAAACUGGGUCUAAUACCGGAUAGGACCGCACCGUGAGGGUGUGGUGGAAAGUUUUUUCGGUGUGGGAUGGGCCCGCGGCCUAUCAGCUUGUUGGUGGGGUAAUGGCCUACCAAGGCGGCGACGGGUAGCCGGCCUGAGAGGGUGGACGGCCACAUUGGGACUGAGACACGGCCCAGACUCCUACGGGAGGCAGCAGUGGGGAAUAUUACACAAUGGGCGGAAGCCUGAUGCAGCGACGCCGCGUGGGGGAUGACGGCCUUCGGGUUGUAAACUCCUUUCACCAUCGACGAAGGGUUUCUGACGGUAGAUGGAGAAGAAGCACCGGCUAACUACGUG
rnacentral:rRNA from 1 species